rnacentral:rRNA from 1 species
UAGGGGGCAAGCGUUAUCCGGAUUUACUGGGUGUAAAGGGAGCGCAGGCGGCCGUGCAAGUCAGGAGUGAAAUACCGGGGCCCAACCCCGGGGCUGCUCUUGAGACUGCGUGGCUGGAGUGUCGGAGGGGCAGGCGGAAUUCCUAGUGUAGCGGUGAAAUGCGUAGAUAUUAGGAGGAACACCAGUGGCGAAGGCGGCCUGCUGGACGACGACUGACGCUGAGGCUCGAAAGCGUGGGGAGCAAA